CUACGGGCGGCAGCAGUGAGGAAUAUUGCACAAUGGGGGGAACCCUGAUGCAGCAACGCCGCGUGGAGGAUGACGCAUUUCGGUGUGUAAACUCCUUUUAUAUGUCAAGAAAAUGACGGUAGCAUAUGAAUAAGCACCGGCUAACUCCGUGCCAGCAGCCGCGGUAAUACGGAGGGUGCAAGCGUUACUCGGAAUCACUGGGCGUAAAGGACGCGUAGGCGGGUUGGAAAGUCAGGUGUGAAAUCCUACAGCGUAACUGUAGAACUGCACUUGAAACUUCUGAUCUAGAGUAUGGGAGGGGGAGAUGGAAUUAGUGGUGUAGGGGUAAAAUCCGUAGAUAUCACUAGGAAUACCUAAAGCGAAGGCGAUCUCCUGGAACAUUACUGACGCUAAGGCGUGAAAGCGUGGGGAGCAAACAGGAUUAGAUACCCGCGUAGUC
rnacentral:rRNA from 1 species